CCUAAAUUUUGCUGAUCUUUAUAGAUUCUAAAGAACAUCACCCUAAAGGCUGCUUCUUCUCAAACCCUAUUGGCGCUUUCCUAUUACAUUUUCCAAAUAGAUGCAAGAUUUUCACCUUGGGUCCCUUUCUCUUGCUACCAUGCAAAUCUCUCUAAUAACCCAAGUAAGAACCUCAUUUGCAUUCUAUAUCCCAUAAUAAAUAUUUUUAGACAGUUAUGUUUUUGCCCCACAAUUUCAAAAUUCUAAACAUCAGUAUGCCUCCAAGUAAAAGAAGCAUGUCUUACACUAAAGCAAAUACAGAUCUCAUCUUUCCAUAGGUUGACUUCAAAAUUCUAAACAUCGGUAUGCCUCCAAGCAAAAAAAGCAUGUCUUCCACUAAAAGCAAAUACAGAUCUUAUCUUUCCAUAGGUCCAAAAUCCAAACUGGGUUUGCUAGAACUACCAACCCUCCAAGGCAAUCCCAUAUAGAAAAUAAGGAAAGCUCACACCUGCAUGACGUAGUUCUCUCCAAAUAAUAAGGAAAUUGGGUUGGCUAAAACUCCAGUCCGUCAUCCUAAUUCUCUACAAGCCACCAAAUCAAGGCAUAUUUCAGAAUGCUCGGUUUCCUAUAUUAAAUGUUACUAAAUCUUUGUAACAGGAAUCUUUACUUGGGGUGUUAUCACCUCUUCUAAAUCUCCCCAGAAACUUGUCCUUGCACCCGCUUCUUUAUUUUAAAAAAUAAAUUCAAUAGACCUAAUUCCCUGCUCCCAUCCUAGAAUCUGCUCCUGCACCUUCACCUGCACCCAAUUCAGGGUAAAUAAGCUCUAAAUAUAAGAAUCACAUCAGCAUAAUAAUGAUGCAUGAUAGGAUAACCUCCUUCCUCCUCUGCAAAUAUCUACUUUCCCACUAGAAAUCAUGAAUAUACUCCCAACUGGUUAACUUAUAUUUGUCAACGGCUUCACUACAUUUUUUUCUUAACCCCUCGAUCCCAAUGGUUUAGCAUGUCACCGGCUGGACUCUUGUUGCCUUACCCAUUAUUACUGUGAGAAGAAUUUCUUCGACAAGAUAACAUUAAUCAGGAUUGAGAACGACACCAAAUUCAUGCAAUUACAUACUAUUGCUCUUAAGAAUGCAGUAGUAAAGAUCUAGAACAUCCAUCAAACCAAUUUGGCCAUCACUGCACCCUGCCUUCUCUAAUUGUAAACCUGAUGUACUUCUAUCUUAUGUUCUUAUAAACACCCCAACAUUUUCACUUCUAGUUUUCCUUGGAUCCGAUGAUAGGCUGUCAUAAAUUAUGCAAAAUACAUGCAGAUUUUCCUAAAAGUAGGAAGCCUAGACAUGGGCCUUCAUUUUAUAAGAACAGUCAAUAAGCACAACUUCN
rnacentral:lncRNA from 1 species